rfam:Bradyrhizobium lablabi strain CCBAT 23086 scaffold57, whole genome shotgun sequence.
GCCGUCGCGAGGCGGGGUCUGAAGGAAGCGUGGAUCAAAGGUGCGAGCCGAUGAACAAAAACCGGAUAUGAGGCGCAAGCGUCGGACGAGCGGGCGACACAUCGCGAAGUCCAGAUCCAUCAAGGAUGCGAAGCGUAGAUCCGGCGGUUGUGCACCGAAGGCGAUUGAGC